GAUGAAGAACGUAGCGAAAUGCGAUAAGUAGUGUGAAUUGCAGAAUUCAGUGAAUCAUCGAAUCUUUGAACGCACAUUGCGCCUCCUGGUAUUCCGGGAGGCAUGCCUGUUCGAGCGUCAUUUCAACCCUCAAGCCCCCGGGCUUGGUGUUGGGGAUCGGCGAGCCUCCGCGCCCGCCGUCCCCUAAAUCUAGUGGCGGUCUCGCUGUAGCUUCCUCUGCGUAGUAGCACACCUCGCACUGGGAAACAGCGCGGCCACGCCGUUAAACCCCCAACUUCUGAACGUUUGACCUCGGAUCAGGUAGGAAUACCCGCUGAACUUAAGCAUAUCAAUAAGCGGAGGA
rnacentral:misc_RNA from 1 species